GGUCCCAUCGUCUAACGGUUAGGACAUCACGCUUUCAAUGUGAGAAUCGGGGUCCGACUCCCCGUGGGACCGCCC
rnacentral:tRNA from 1 species